UCGGAUCUCGGCUGGGAGGAAGAUCUUUGGAAGAAUCCUUCGGCUAGGAAUAGGGGAGCUGGGACGUGAUCCACGGAUGGCCGAACGUGGGAUGCUUGGAUUGGUUUGAGUCAAUCUGGCAUGCCGGCUGGGAGUGGUUCCGAAACAGGGGAUUCCGUGGAGCUCGGGAUGCACUUGGGAUGUUGAUCCACUUCGUGGUGACGUGGAGAUAUAGAUGCUGGGAAGAGAAUGGAGUGAAGGAGGGGAGCUGGGAUGAAGACGGAAUGAAGAAGCUUUGGAUGCGGAACUGUGAACGACAUGCAAACGGGAUGGAGAUACGAUGGAAAGAUAAAAUCUGGGAGGAGACGUGGAAGGCAAUCGGGAUGAGUGUGGGAUGUUGGGAUCAAUCCGGAAGAAGUGGGUUUUGAUUUUAUCCCACGGGUUAUGCUACUUUAUUCCAGAACAGGGGAAGAAAAAUGAUGUGGAAUGAGCUUGGGAUUUGCUGGGAGAAAGUUGG
rnacentral:lncRNA from 1 species